rnacentral:rRNA from 1 species
GAUGAACGCUGGCGGCGUGCCUAAUACAUGCAAGUCGAGCGAACAGACGAGGAGCUUGCUCCUCUGACGUUAGCGGCGGACGGGUGAGUAACACGUGGAUAACCUACCUAUAAGACUGGGAUAACUUCGGGAAACCGGAGCUAAUACCGGAUAAUAUAUUGAACCGCAUGGUUCAAUAGUGAAAGACGGUUUUGCUGUCACUUAUAGAUGGAUCCGCGCCGCAUUAGCUAGUUGGUAAGGUAACGGCUUACCAAGGCAACGAUGCGUAGCCGACCUGAGAGGGUGAUCGGCCACACUGGAACUGAGUCACGGUCCAGACUCCUACGGGAGGCAGCAGUAGGGAAUCUUCCGCAAUGGGCGAAAGCUUGACGGAGCAACGCCGCGCGAGUGAUGAAGGUCUUCGGAUCGUAAAACUCUGUUAUUAGGGAAGAACAAAUGUGUAAGUAACUAUGCACGUCUUGACGGUACCUAAUCAGAAAGCCACGGCUAACUACGUG